rnacentral:lncRNA from 1 species
AUGAAGUCCGUCUCCACCAGCCGGCGCCCAGCACUCUUCCUAGCUCCGCUCAGCACAGCAUCGUCCUCUCUCACAUUAAAGGAGGUAACUGCACACUGCAGCUGUAACAGAAGCCCCAGCCUAGCCCUGAGAGGGACUUUAAAGGGUCAUCUGGUCCCCCUGCCCUUGCUGGACUCCUGUGGUACUUGGAGCCGUGCUUCUCAGCUGCCUAUUUCGUCCUCAGAAAGCACUGAGUUCUUGAAUGUUCUUCCUCGCUGCAAACCUACCCGACUCGUUUGCCUGGCACCUGCCGGUCCUGCAGCGCACUCAGCCAGUCCCUGCACCAGGGCGCACACGGUACGGGACAGAGCGGCCGUGGGGGCCUCCUUAACGCCUUUCCGUCUUUUCCUAAGCAGUCAUUACGUUUUUUAUUUGUUUUCAUGGCAGAGCUACUGCUGCUGCUGCUUUGGACCGGCCUGCGUCCGAGGCUGUCCCCUGCUAGCUGUGUCACCGAGGGCCACGCAGGGGUCCCCCGCGGCUUCGUGUUGCCCACGGGAGCGGCCGAGCCUCCAGCGAACGCCGCGUCACACGCUGACCGCGCUGCCCCGAUGCCUGGCCUUCCGCAGCGAGGCUCUCUUCACCUCUGUACCCGGAGGGGCAGAAGUCACCCACUUCCAGAAAAACCGCACAUCUUGGAAGACAGCUUGAAGGAUUAAGAAGAAGGACUCUCAGUAUUCCGCCCUCCCUCCUCGCCGCCUCUGCAAACCUUCCUUAAAGUCAGGCAGUCCGGGUUGGGGUGUAGCGCAGGGGCAGAAACUUGCCUGGCAUGUGGGAGGCUGUGUUGGAUCCCUGGCGCAGCAAUAAAUAAAUUAGGCAGCCCCUAAAAGAAGGCUGUGGAUUCUAAGCAUGUCGAGGCUGAACCCUUCAGUAGCCUUUUAUGGAUCACCCAUAAAGAAAGGACAGCUCGCGGCAGGUACACCCAUAACUAAUGAGGGUUUUGUUGGGUGACCCUUCUGUCUGACAUUGAAUGACAGUAUUAAACUUCUGCCACAAAUGCCACUGAAUGGUGGGUGAGUGAGGGUGAGGGAUCCUUCGUGUCUCGGAAGAGCAACCCCAGCUCCUGUGACGAGCGGCCGGGGGAACGGGAAGGUGCUGGGCGCUCACCGCCCAAGGCUCUGAGAUCCAGAAAUCCAGUAGUCCUGCGGUGCUGGCUCAGCAGGGCAAUUAUCUGCACUUCAAAUCUCCCGCUCCGGGGAAGAGAAAAUUCUAACACCACUUAGGAAGUCAAAAAUGUAUCCUGGUGGGCUGGGGAUGUAGCUCAGUGAUGCCGCCGCCUGCCUCGAAAUCUCAAGGUCAAAAAAAAGAAGGCUUUGGAAAAUCACUUUGGUUCUAAGAAAAAAUUAUGUAACAUUUCCAUAAGGUUUCACAGUUCACAAAACUGGUCACGACCUGGCGUUAGUCUGCUGCGCUGUCUGAGGCAGGGCCUCCCACCGUGGCCCUCCUUCAGUGGGAGAAGAAACUGAGGCAGGAAGACCGACCGGCUUGCCCAGGGGAACACACGGAGGGCAGAUAUGUGUUCAUAUCUUCUUUAGUGUUCAUUCUUCAUCUACAAAGUUAAGUCUUUCCAUUUGCAGUUCACUGAGACAUUAAUUCAUUCAAAAUAAAAUUUAUCCAGGAUACAAUGUAAACGGAGGGAGAGCGAACAAAAGGGAUGACUGAGCUGGGAACAUAAGCUGAGGUGUUGUCUUAUCCUCGGGGGCUUUAUAAUGUUUCGAGGAGCCAAAUAGAAAAGGAAAGGUAAGUAACUACAUGGACAGCGCUGCUUCUUCAGAGAUCUCGCAAAGGGGCAGCUCAAUUCAGAUCAAGGAGGAGUCGGAGUGGGGAAACCAGAAUGCCGUGGAAGGUGGCGACAGGGCAGAGACAGCGCCUUCUCUUGAAUGUCACUUCUGCAGAAAGGGGCUGAUGACUGGGCAAAAGCAAACAAGCCACCAGAAAGCAAAAGCCAGAAGUGAGGAAAGGACGUGGCUUGUUGGCACAAAGGUGAGAAGCAAAGGCAAAACCAAGAAACACACCCAGUCUUCCAGUUUCCGGUUCCGGGGAACCCGACUUCCGGAGUCCAUAAGCAGUGCUUGUAAAUUACCCAUUAGUUGUGACUCUCAGAAAAGCUAUUAUACCCACACAAGAAUCCCUUCUAAAGUAACUAAUCCUUCGUGGGUCUCUCUUUCCUUUACUUAAAUACGUCUAACAAUGCAUUAUACAUAUUUGAGUGAUAUUUUUAAAUGAUGUCUUUGAAAUGAGGCUAAAAGUGUAAGUAAAUGUCACUGACUGUGAAUGGGACAGUGGAAAUUUUUUGUGUGUUUAAAGGAAUUCAUAGCAAAACCAGUGCUCAUUUGUUAGGUGACCAAAUAGAACAAAAGAAGAUUAUUGAAUUAGAAAAGAUGCAUUAAAAUUCCUUUCCUUAACUUUAAGGAUAAGAACAAUAAUUCACGCAGUAUAACCUCAUAGCUCUGUCUCUGUAACCUCUGCCCAUAGGACAAUCUCACCAAAAUGCACUAAAUAUUUGAAGAUACUAUGUUAUUUUUCUAGCAUUCAUGUCAUAAGUUGAACCCGCAC